CUCAGAGAGCCUCGGCUAGGUGUGGAAACAGGAAGAGAACUAGAACUGGAAGUAAAGCAUUGAAGAUGUGACUGAAUUGCUGCAAUCUCAUGAUCAAAUUUGAAUGGAUGAGGAGUUGCUUUUUAGGGAUGAGCAAAGAAAGUGGUUUCUCGAGAUGGAAUCUACUGGUUGCUCCUUGAGGGCAGGACAGUUCUUAUGGCUUUAUCCGUUGCGUAAGCACAGAGAGGUCUGCGAGGUCAAAACUAUUGUCAUGAUAGCAAGAUGCCUGUCUUUUUCAUUUAUUCUCACGGUGUGCAGAGGCUACAUGAUGUGUGAUGACAUCCUCAUUGAUGUUAAUGAAUGGUGCUAUACUUGAAUUUUCUAAGGUGUCAUUAGGGAAGCACCAUUUUCCACAAAACUCUCAAGAAGGACUUGUUGCAACUGGAAAAGCAAUUAAAUGUGAAUCGUGAUCCAGGAGAAAGUAACAACUCACAUAACUCCCAAAUUAAAAGUUUUCCAAAGAUA
ensembl:lncRNA THUMPD3-AS1 THUMPD3 antisense RNA 1